UCACAUAGUUCAGUCGGUAGAGCAGGACACUCUUAAUCUCUGGUUUGUGGGCUGGAGUCCCACAUUGGGCAAAA